rnacentral:rRNA from 1 species
AAUAUUGCACAAUGGGGGAAACCCUGAUGCAGCGACGCCGCGUGAGUGAAGAAGUAUUUCGGUAUGUAAAGCUCUACCAGCAGGGACGAUAAUGACGGUACCUGACUAAGAAGCUCCGGCUAACUACGUUCCAGCAGCCGCGGUAAUACGCAGGGGGCAAGCGUUAUCCGGAUUUACUGGGUGUAAAGGGCGCGUAGAAGGUAGGGUAAGUCAGAUGUGAAAGCCCGGGGCUCAACCCCGGGAUUGCAUUUGAAACUAUCCGACUAGAGUGCAGGAGAGGUAAGUGGAAUUCCUAGUGUAGCGGUGAAAUGCGUAGAGAUUAGGAGGAACACCAGUGGCGAAGGCGGCUUACUGGACUGUAACUGACGUUGAGGCUCGAAAGCGUGGGGAGCAAAC